rnacentral:tRNA from 1 species
GGCGGUAUAACUCAGCCUGGUUAGAGUGUUACGCUCAUAUCGUAAAAGUCCCGAGUUCAAAUCUCGGUACCGCCA